rnacentral:miRNA from 1 species
CAACAAAUCACAGCCGGCCUCA